AUGGAAGCAUUAAGAUGUGGUCAGCGGGAUGGCUUCUUAAAUUUGCCAAGCAUGAAGGUUCCCCACGAGUCCUUGCAUGUUAAGAAUAUAAGCUUAGAUGAAUGCAUAGCAGAAUGCACCAGCAACUGCUCCUGCACGGCGUAUGCUUUCGCCAAUACGAGCACCAAGGACAUCAAUGGGGAUGAAACUAGGUGCCUAUUAUGGAACGGAGAUUUGAUUGACACAGAGAAGCUCAUUGGACAAGGGCAAAACCUCUAUAUCCGGGUUAAUGGAUUGAGUGAUAAAAAGCGGAAGAGCACUGUUUUAAAAAUUACACUGCCAGUCGUAACAAGCUUGCUCAUAAUCAUAUGGGUGUGCCUUGUUUGGAUCUGCUGCUUGGGAGGCAAACAAAGAGACAAGAAAAUUUGGAAGAAGCUGAUGUCAGGAACUUCGAGCACUUCAGUUGAACUUUGCGACGGAAACUUAAAGUAUCAUUCUAUUAGCUUCAAAGAAAUUGUACUUGCAACAAACAAUUUCUCUAACUCCGACAAGCUUGGACAUGGAGGUUUUGGCAAUGUUUACAAGGGAACGUUAGAAGAUGGUACAGAAAUUGCUGUGAAAAGGCUUAGGAAGGGUUCUGGCCAGGGGGUACUGGAGUUCAGAAAUGAAGUACUACUCAUUGCAAAGUUGCAGCAUAAAAACUUGGUUAGACUUCUCGGUUUCUGCAUCCAUGGAGAUGAGAAACUAUUAAUAUAUGAAUACUUACCUAACAGAAGUCUCGAUGCUAUUGGUAGCAGAUGCCACAAGAAAAUCAAUGCUUAA
rnacentral:rRNA from 1 species